GCAGAGAAAAGCGCAGUCCAGCAGCGUUUAACAUCCUCCUAGUCACAUCAGAUAAAAGAAGCGAUCUGAUUGGUUGCUGGGGGUAACUCAGCAAUUUUUGGACACUAACAUAUAUUCAUCUAUCCUGCAUCACCGCUGAUGCCAGUCAUUGGGUGCAGCACAUGGAUGCACAGGACGUUCUGGGAAAAGUAGCAAAACAGAGAUUGUUAGGGAUCACCAGAGCAUCAACCCUGGAGCAGCGGGAGAUUUAACAGAUAUCCUCUUUAUGACUGUAGAGGUAGUGCUGCAUUACAAUGGGAGAAUAAGGACCUCACAAAGUGUUGAAGGUUUGUAAAAAGACAACCAACAAGUGAUGAAAACACAGGCCGGCUGUUGCUGGGCAGGAUGAAAUCGACAUCUGAUUGGUCAGCGUGGAUUCGGUGGGAAUGGAGAAGUUUUAAAAGAAGCGGUGGCGAUUCCCAUAGCUCAGUCAGCGUGUCAAGACCCAAGAAGCGUGCCCUCCCUCCUUCCCUUGUCACGGUCUGUUUUUAGGGACGUCGCCCCGUUUAUUAGCGGGUCGGACAGUUUUUGUUAUAUGGUUGUAUUAAAUUAACAUUCGUUUUCUUAAUUAAAAUGGGGUGUCACCCAGACUGGUCUGGGCGGAUAGUUUUAUUUAAUUCAGAGUUUUACAUUAUAUGGUUAUUUCAGCUUUGCUGAUUUUAUUGGAUGUUAGUUUUUUAAAUUAAUUUAUGGUUUUAUUAAUAAAUGUAUUUAUUUAAUUUUUUUUUUUUUACCCCUCAA